rnacentral:rRNA from 1 species
UUAAGCGACUAAGCGUACACGGUGGAUGCCUAGGCAAUCAGAGGCGAUGAAGGACGUGCUAAUCUGCGAAAAGCGUCGGUAAGGUGAUAUGAACCGUUAUAACCGACGAUGUCCGAAUGGGGAAACCCAGUGCAAUUCGUUGCACUAUCGUUUGAUGAAUCCAUAGUCAAACGAGGCGAACCGGGGGAACUGAAACAUCUCAGUACCCCGAGGAAAAGAAAUCAACCGAGAUUCCCCUAGUAGCGGCGAGCGAACGGGGAGCAGCCCAGAGUCUUAAUCAGCAUCAGCAUCAGGAGAACGGUCUGGAAAGGCCGGCAAUAAAGGGUGAUAGCCCCGUAUCCGAAGGUGUUGGUGUUGUGAACUCGACGAGUAGGGCGGGACACGUGUUAUCCUGUCUGAAUAUGGGGGGACCAUCCUCCAAGGCUAAAUACUCCUGAUUGACCGAUAGUGAACCAGUACCGUGAGGGAAAGGCGAAAAGAACCCCGGCGAGGGGAGUGAAAUAGAACCUGAAACCGUGUACGUACAAGCAGUGGGAGCCUUGAUUUAUCAGGGUGACUGCGUACCUUUUGUAUAAUGGGUCAGCGACUUAUAUUCUGUAGCAAGGUUAACCGAAUAGGGGAGCCGUAGGGAAACCGAGUCUUAACUGGGCGAAUGAGUUGCAGGGUAUAGACCCGAAACCCGGUGAUCUAGCCAUGGGCAGGUUGAAGGUUGGGUAACACUAACUGGAGGACCGAACCGACUAAUGUUGAAAAAUUAGCGGAUGACUUGUGGCUGGGGGUGAAAGGCCAAUCAAACCGGGAGAUAGCUGGUUCUCCCCGAAAGCUAUUUAGGUAGCGCCUCGUGAACUCAUCUUCGGGGUAGAGCACUGUUUCGGCUAGGGGGUCAUCCCGACUUACCAACCCGAUGCAAACUACGAAUACCGAAGAAUGUUAUCACGGGAGACACACGGCGGGUGCUAACGUUCGUCGUGAAGAGGGAAACAACCCAGACCGCCAGCUAAGGUCCCAAAGUCAUGGUUAAGUGGGAAACGAAGUGGGAAGGCUCAGACAGCCAGGAUGUUGGCUUAGAAGCAGCCAUCAUUUAAAGAAAGCGUAAUAGCUCACUGGUCGAGUCGGCCUGCGCGGAAGAUGUAACGGGGCUAAACCAUGCACCGAAGCUGCGGCAGCGACAUGUAAAUGUUGUUGGGUAGGGGAGCGUUCUGUAAGCCUGUGAAGGUGUGCUGCGAGGCAUGCUGGAGGUAUCAGAAGUGCGAAUGCUGACAUAAGUAACGAUAAUGCGGGUGAAAAACCCGCACGCCGGAAGACCAAGGGUUCCUGUCCAACGUUAAUCGGGGCAGGGUGAGUCGACCCCUAAGGCGAGGCAGAAAUGCGUAGUCGAUGGGAAACAGGUUAAUAUUCCUGUACUGGUGAUAAUUGCGAUGGGGGGACGGAGAAGGCUAGGCUGGCCGGGCGACGGUUGUCCCGGUUUAAGGAUGUAGGUGGGUGAAUUAGGCAAAUCCGGUUCGCUAUACACUGAGGUCUGAUGACGAGUCACUACGGUGGCGAAGUAGCUCAUGCCCCGCUUCCAGGAAAAGCCUCUAAGCUCUAGAUUAUCAUUAAUCGUACCCCAAACCGACACAGGUGGUCAGGUAGAGAAUACUCAGGCGCUUGAGAGAACUCGGGUGAAGGAACUAGGCAAAAUGGUGCCGUAACUUCGGGAGAAGGCACGCUGGCAUUAGGUGAAGUGGUUUACCCAUGGAGCUGAAGCCAGUCGCAGAUACCAGCUGGCUGCAACUGUUUAUUAAAAACACAGCACUGUGCAAACACGAAAGUGGACGUAUACGGUGUGACGCCUGCCCGGUGCUGGAAGGUUAAUUGAUGGGGUUAUCCGUAAGGAGAAGCUCUUGAUCGAAGCCCCAGUAAACGGCGGCCGUAACUAUAACGGUCCUAAGGUAGCGAAAUUCCUUGUCGGGUAAGUUCCGACCUGCACGAAUGGCGUAAUGAUGGCCAGGCUGUCUCCACCCGAGACUCAGUGAAAUUGAACUCGCUGUGAAGAUGCAGUGUACCCGCGGCAAGACGGAAAGACCCCGUGAACCUUUACUAUAGCUUGACACUGAACAUUGAGCCUUGAUGUGUAGGAUAGGUGGGAGGCUUUGAAGUGUGGACGCCAGUCUGCAUGGAGCCAACCUUGAAAUACCACCCUUUAAUGUUUGAUGUUCUAACGUCGCCCCAUAAUCUGGGGUGCGGACAGUGUCUGGUGGGUAGUUUGACUGGGGCGGUCUCCUCCCAAAGCGUAACGGAGGAGCACGAAGGUUGGCUAAGCAUGGUCGGACAUCAUGCGGUUAGUGCAAAGGCAUAAGCCAGCUUGACUGCGAGAGUGACGGCUCGAGCAGGUACGAAAGUAGGUCUUAGUGAUCCGGUGGUUCUGAAUGGAAGGGCCAUCGCUCAACGGAUAAAAGGUACUCCGGGGAUAACAGGCUGAUACCGCCCAAGAGUUCAUAUCGACGGCGGUGUUUGGCACCUCGAUGUCGGCUCAUCACAUCCUGGGGCUGAAGUAGGUCCCAAGGGUAUGGCUGUUCGCCAUUUAAAGUGGUACGCGAGCUGGGUUUAGAACGUCGUGAGACAGUUCGGUCCCUAUCUGCCGUGGGCGUUGGAAGAUUGAAAGGGGCUGCUCCUAGUACGAGAGGACCGGAGUGGACGCACCGCUGGUGUUCGGGUUGUCAUGCCAAUGGCACUGCCCGGUAGCUAAGUGCGGAAGAGAUAACCGCUGAAAGCAUCUAAGCGGGAAACUUGCCUUGAGAUGAGUCUUCCCUGACUCUUUAAGGGUCCUAAAGGAACGUUUAAGACGAAGACGUUGAUAGGCUGGGUGUGUAAGCGUAGCGAUACGUUGAGCUAACCAGUACUAAUGAACCGUGAGGCUUAACCUG